GGGGGCGUUCUUGGAUUCGACGGGGAUUGCAAGGCUCUAGGUGCAUGUCGAGGAUGAAAGAACCUCGUAAAACCCUUUCAACACAAUAGUUGCAAACGACGACAACUACGCUUUAGCGGCUUAAUCCCCGCUAACGUUCAGCCGAAAAAGUCUGCGUUUUUGACCUGAACGACAUCUCAGCAGAAUCGCUCUUAUGUGCGUCCGCCGCAUAAGGGUUAAACUUAGCGGAAUCGCCGGAAAGAUGCCUGACCAUUGGCUGCUUGAAGGCUAAAUUUUAAUUAAUGGCUCUAAGCAUGUAGUACCGAAAGUUGAGGAUUCGCGGACGGGGGUUCAAAUCCCCCCGCCUCCACCA
rnacentral:tmRNA from 1 species